rnacentral:rRNA from 1 species
GACGAACGCUGGCGGCAGGCCUAACACAUGCAAGUCGAACGAGUGGCGGACGGGUGAGUAAUGUCUGGGAAACUGCCCGAUGGAGGGGGAUAACUACUGGAAACGGUAGCUAAUACCGCAUACCAUCGGAUGUGCCCAGAUGGGAGUAGCUAGUAGGGGGGGUAACGGCUCACCUAGGCGACGAUCCCUCGCGGGGCUGAGAGGAUGACCAGCCACACGGGAACUGGGACACGUGCCAGACUCCUGCGGGAGGCAGCAGUGGGGAAUAUUGCACAAUUGGCGCAAGCCUGAUGCAGCCAUGCCGCGUGUAUGAAGAAGGUCUUCGGGUUGUAAAGUACUUUCAGCGAGGAGGCGUUACUCGCAGAAGAAGCACCGGCUAACUCCGUGCCAGCAGCCGCGGUAAUUC